CCUACGGGUGGCAGCAGUGGGGAAUAUUGGACAAUGGGGGCAACCCUGAUCCAGCCAUGCCGCGUGUGUGAAGAAGGCCCUCGGGUUGUAAAGCACUUUCAGUGAGGAAGAACGCCUGGUGGUUAAUACCCAUCAGGAAAGACAUCACUCACAGAAGAAGCACCGGCUAACUCCGUGCCAGCAGCCGCGGUAAUACGGAGGGUGCGAGCGUUAAUCGGAAUUACUGGGCGUAAAGCGCGCGUAGGUGGCUUGAUAAGCCGGUUGUGAAAGCCCCGGGCUCAACCUGUGAACGGCAUCCGGAACUGUCAAGCUAGAGUGCAGGAGAGGAAGGUAGAAUUCCCGGUGUAGCGGUGAAAUGCGUAGAGAUCGGGAGGAAUACCAGUGGCGAAGGCGGCCUUCUGGACUGACACUGACACUGAGGUGCGAAAGCGUGGGUAGCAAACAGGAUUAGAUACCCCAGUAGUC
rnacentral:rRNA from 1 species